rfam:Oryza glumipatula chromosome 10, whole genome shotgun sequence.
AAAAAAACAAACCCUGAUUUCUGUGUCCAAUAUUUGACCGUCCAUCUUAUUUAAAAAAAUUAUAAAAAAAAUAAAAAGAUAAGUCACGCAUAAAGUAUUAAUCAUAUUUUAUCAUCUAAUAACAAUGAAAAAACUAAUUAUAAAAAAAAUUCAUAUAAGAUGGACAGUCAAAUAUUGACACGGAAACUCAUGGUUUGCCAUUUU